UUUAGCUCCAUUCAUAAUAUUUUUUAAAAUCAUGAAUUCGUGCAUUUGCUUUACUUUAUAACAUCAUUAUUUAUUUUAAUCGCUUCUAAUGCACUAAAUCAGGGACUAUAUCAGCAAUACGCAAGUUAAGACCCACGGGCAGCGGACAAUUGUGUCAAUGGUUGGUUUGGAGAGAGAUGUCAAUUCCAGUGUCAUUGUUCUUCUACCUGUGAUCCAACUGGUCAGUGUAAAGAUAACAAAUGUGCUGUUGGUUGGUUUGGUUACAAAUGUCAAUAUCGAGAUCUUAGUAUUUCUAUUGCAACUCCCAACGCUAGUGUUGUCAGCUACAACCCAUGGCUAGAUAGCAAUGACUUAACAUGCUAUAUCAACGAAGAUAUCCAAAGUGUUGUGGUCACUUUAUCGAAACAAAUAAAUUUUCAGUGGAUCCGGUUGGCAGUCAGUGAUCCUGACUACGCAAAUCGCCCCAGGCCAGCACUAGACGAGGUUCAACCGUGAUGAGUGACAGUGCACGCCAGUUUGGCAAAGACCCGUGU
rnacentral:sRNA from 1 species